ACGCUCGACACCUACGGAGGCAGCAGUGGGGAAUAUUGCACAAUGGGGGAAACCCUGAUGUAGCGACGCCGCGUGAGCGAAGAAGUAUUUCGGUAUGUAAAGCUCUAUCAGCAGGGAAGAAACUGACGGUACCUGACUAAGAAGCACCGGCUAAAUACGUGCCAACAGCCGCGGUAAUCUGAGCGGGCUGGCAAGGC
rnacentral:rRNA from 1 species